rnacentral:rRNA from 1 species
GAUGAACGCUGGCGGCGCGCCUAACACAUGCAAGUCGAACGAUUAAAGCACCUUCGGGUGUGUAUAAAGUGGCGAACGGCUGAGUAACACCUGGGCAACCUGCCCCUCUCAUGGGGAAAGCCACGGGAAACCGUGGAAAAUACCCAAUACUUCUGGACUUCCGCAUGGAAGACUCGAGAAAGCUCCGGCGGAGAGGGAUGGGCCCGCGGCCUGUUAGCUUGUUGGUGGGGUAAUGGCCUACCAAGGCAAUGAUGGGUAGCUGGGUUGAGAGCCCGACCAGCCUGAUUGGUACUGAGACACGGCCCAGACUCCUACGGGAGGCAGCAGUGGGGAACCUGGCACAAUGGGGGAAAGCCUGAUGAAGAGAUGCCGCGUGCGGGAUGAAGGCCUUCGGGUUGUAAACCGCUUUAAGCAGGGACGAGGCGAAAGUGACGGUACCUGCAGAAGAAGCCCCGGCUAACUACGUG